rnacentral:rRNA from 1 species
GACGAACGCUGGCGGCGUGCUUAACACAUGCAAGUCGAACGGAAAGGCCUCUUUCGGGGGGUACUCGAGUGGCGAACGGGUGAGUAACACGUGAGUAACCUGCCCUUGACUUUGGGAUAACUACAGGAAACUGGGGCUAAUACCGGAUAGGAGCUCCUGCUGCAUGGUGGGGGUUGGAAAGUUUCGGCGGUUGGGGAUGGACUCGCGGCUUAUCAGCUUGUUGGUGGGGUAGUGGCUUACCAAGGCUUUGACGGGUAGCCGGCCUGAGAGGGUGACCGGCCACAUUGGGACUGAGAUACGGCCCAGACUCCUACGGGAGGCAGCAGUGGGGAAUAUUGCACAAUGGGUGGAAGCCUGAUGCAGCAACGCCGUGUGCGGGAUGACGGCCUUCGGGUUGUAAACCGCUUUCGCUCAUGACGAAGCUUUGCGUGACGGUAGUGGGUAAAGAAGCACCGGCUAACUACGUG